GUGCUCCUUUCAGUAGCACAUAUACUAAAAUUGGAAUGACGCUGAGUUAGUUUGGCACCUGGGUAAGGAUAACAUUCAAUCUCAUGAAGUGUUCCACAUUUUU
ensembl:snRNA U6 U6 spliceosomal RNA